UUCCUUCCUCUCUGCCGUAGUAUUUAAACUCAAUCCUUGCCAGAGGUACAUCUUUUGUUAGUCCUGACUCAGGCCUGCUGACCUGGCUUGCUAGAUUGAUCUUGGACCUGCUUCAUCACUUAUAGGUUUCUUUGGCCACCAUUGACUGUAAGAGGUUACAGAUCUUCCUUACUCUGUUUGCUUAGAUGCCAUAGAGGAUUAUUCUGUUUGUUUCUAAAGCAAACUUCAAAGAUGAAAAAUUUGGAAAAAUCAGAGAAAGCAGUGGAUGUACAAGGCUAAUUCAGAACAUCCUUUCUGGAAUUACCACUGCAACCACUGGAGCAAAUAUGAUGAAGAGAAUUACCAGCACUGUUACUCAAUAUAAAUGGCUCAGAAAAUGCCUUUCCUCCCUCUGUAAAAUAUCUAUCUCAAACGUUUAAAAUAAAUAAAAUAAUGGAGCUAGCUGAGUAAUCAGCCUUAAAAUUUGUUACAUAGUAUAACACCAUCUCUUGUUUGCAGGUAUUAUAAAAAGUUUUUUAUGGCACUAAACACCUGGUGUUAUGUUAUUUUUGUAAAAAUAUAUCUUCAUGUAAUUGAAAUCAAUGUUGACUCAGUCAACUUGAGUUCAUGCAUAUGUCAAUCAUAGAAUUGUUCUGCCAAGACACUACUUACUAAACGGAGGACAGGCAGACACAAGGGAAGAAAGGAAGGGAAGAAGGAUUUUUAAACAUGCUGCAAAAAAAUAUUGUGACUACGUUCAAUUGUUCAAUGCAGUUUUUUAGAGAGGCAGAACUCUCCUAUUGUGGCUUGGAAAGCUGUUCACUUUCUGCUUCUUUCAGUGAAGUACAAAUUCUGUGUUUGAACAUUCUGAAUAUUUGAACUCAAAUUAUAAGGGAUUUGUAGUUAUACAAAAGAGCUUGAGAAAUGACCUAAGAUCUCAGUUGAGAACCUGUAAGAGGCUAUUUAUUAUCAUGUACAUCUACAUUCACAUCUCUCCUUCCCUGUCAUUUGGUUCAUUUGCAUGUCUGACUGUAGGGCUUAUGAGCAUGGGAGAACAAUCAAAGCCCAAAUAAAGACAACUACUUCCAAUCAGUGAGCUAAAUGUUUAUAUUCCAUUGAAGGCACAUUCAUUUAAUACCAGCAUAUUUGACUAACUGCUUCAUGGCAAUUCAGCAAGUCUCAAAGGUGGAAGGGAAUCGACAGAAAAGCACUAAAUAAAAGAUGGUUGCAAGACGGUAGCAGCAUCUCAAAUCAAGAAGGUCUGCAACUGGCCUCUUAACUUGCUUUUGUAAAAGUGAGGAUAAAUUCUUUUUUUCUUUGUACAGACUUCUAACUGAUGAGAAAUUACCUUGCCUCAGUCAUUGUCCUCUUUGAACCAUUGAUCCAUCUGUACUGGCUGACCAACAGCAGUAAUAAAGCAUGGAGGGCAUAAUCACUAUGUGCUUAAAUAAGUAUUUAUUCAUUGAUAUAAAAUCAAAUUUGAAUUAAUACUAAUAUUAAAUUUUAUUAUUAUAAAAUUGAAAUAUAAUUUUGUCAAUGUAUGCAAUGCCUAAAACAUAUAAUACUGUAAAUCCCACAAGAGCAAAUAUUUUAAAAUGAUACAGGAUGCUGAGAAAGGACACUUCAGUGUUAACUUUAAGUACCUACCUUGAGGUCAAGAAAGUCCCUUACUAUGGCUUGCUGAAGAGAAGAAUGAGUUGUAAAUCCAUCUGCGUGCAUACUUGGACUACUGCUAGUGAAUAAUUAGGUCUGCACAACAAUCACAGACUCAUUGGGCUACAGGGACACCUUUAAGUGCAGCACUUCCCCAGCAGUAUGGGGGAUAUAAACCUGUAAAGGGAAUAUAAAGUCUGUAAAGCACAAAUUUUGAUAAAAUAGUUUCAAAUGCGUGUUUCUGUUAUUCUGAUACCCAUUUCUGCACAAAUUUCUUUACACUACUUCUGCUGUGAAGCCACCAGACUUCUCAUGCACGUGAAUAGAGGGCCAAGGUCAAGAUUUGUUCUAUAAAUACAGAGCUGUUACUGUGAUUGCUGACAACAGAAGCUGUUGUGCAGACUGUCAGCAAGGCAUACAAACUACUGCCAGAAGCCAGCUCUCCACAGCUGGGGGAGACCUGAGGGCCAGGCACUGAAGAGGCCAAGUCACACAGCCAAUUCUCCAGACUUUUCUCUAGUACUUAUGGUCUUUUUAACAUGAAUGGAAUAGAUAGGUCCUUAUUUUGUAACACUUACAUAAAGACUUUCAACAUUAGGAUCACGAAACGUUCUUAUAUGAUCAAGGAAUCCCCUUCCAGCAAGGCAUGCAAAUAGUAACAGAGGCACCCACCUUGUGUUAGUGAGACACUUUGUAUAGCUGUAUCUUAAAAGUUGAAACACAACUCAAAACUUCAUCUGUGAAUGCUUUGUCACAUCUGAAAUCCAUAUCAGUAUUCUAUCUGUUUUAUUUUAGUACUUAUUCUGGUAUCACAAUGACAGUGUAUUUUGCAAGGCCAGAUAGCUGGUCUUUGUGUUAAUUUUAAUGAAGUGAUCUAUAAGGUCUAACAGGUUGUAGUUAUUACUGGACUUAUAAAACAUUUUGUAGUGUUUAUACUCACUGAAUACAGAUAAUGGAUACUGAAGUAAUGCCCAAACUAUUAAGUAUAUCAAUAAAAUGCAGCAUCAAAAAAUAAAUGAAAAAUGACCUUUGUUUUAUAAGUACUGCUUUUUUGCAGUUUAAAAUAAAAUAGUCUAACCUAUGAAAGAAGUCUAUCAAGAGCUAUUAAAGGCAAAGCUGAAGACAAAGUUUUCAUGUAAGAAGAUAUUGAAUUCCAAAUAGCUGGAAACUGAGAGAGUACACAGGAAAGACUUGCAUCAUAAAUUUCUCUGUUCUGGUACUUUUUUCCCUAAGCAUUCACAACUGAAUAUUUUCAGAAACAAGAUACUAGGCUGAAUGAAUCAUGUAGAGCUGUUCCAUUAUAUUCUUUGGCAGAAUAAAUCAGUCUUAAAGAGAUAAUUUUAACCUUUUUUAAAAUCCAGUCUUCCCUGACAUCAUUUGUUACACAAUUUGUUACAGCAGAUGAAAGCAACUGCUUGGUUUGAACCUACAGAAGAAUGUAAAUAAACGAGUUUUGUAAUUAAUUCACCCAGAGAUAUAGCCAGUAUAUUGGACUGAAAAUGUGUUUUGUGAAACAUGCAGAUACCACAAAUAACACAAAUACACACACAAAACCUUUUGUUUUCCUAUUAUUCCCGCUUUUUUAGUAUGAAUGCCAGGUUGUAGAGUAGUUUUUGUUGCCAGUUUGUGAUGUCAUACAUCACAUAUGAGGACACCGUAGAACAGAGACCCUACCUACUUGUAUUGCAUAGUGGUGGUAAGUGGUGAUGGAGUCUUUGUAUUUUCUUUCUCUUUACUGAACCUUGCAGGUUCUCCUAACAGGAGCAUCCAAGGCACAGGUCUGGUAGAUUUGUGAUGUUUUUUUUUGGUGUUUCCUACAGCAGUGAUACUUUAUGUCUGCUAGUAAUUAGUUAGCAUUACUCUGGCACUGCAUAUUACAGGGGAAGUUUUAGAAGAGGAGCUGAAGCGAACAGAUUCUCGGGUACCUCUAAAUAAUGUUAGUUAAUUAAUUGACCUUCAUAUCACAUAAUAUGGCUGGAAGAAUGUUAACAGAGUAAAACAGCUAAUCACUUUCACCGUAUCAUCUGUAUAGUGAAAGACCACUGCAAAAAUAAUUAAAUAAAAACUUAAUAUG